rnacentral:lncRNA from 12 species
UUUUAUGUUUACAGAUAACAUCGUAAUGCUAGAGAAGUUAAAUAACUGGACCAAGGGUACGAUUCAAAUGCAAGCUAUCAAGCCUGUCCAAGGCUUAACUCUUGAGCUGUGUCCCUUCUGGUCAGGAGCCUAUCCCACCUCUUCAAACUGGUCAGGAUCAUACUUCCCAUGGGCAAACUUCAAGGAAGUCAAGGUGAGAGAAGAUGAGCAAAAUGGGCGUUGCACGUUACCUUCAAGUGGCCCAAAGUAAUGAAGAAAUACUGACUGCCCAUUGCUAGAAUCAGAGAAAUUAAAAAUGAGUCUCUGCCUUGCCUUUGAGGAGCUAAAUAUAGUGGGAAAGGUAAAUAUAGAAAAUGAUCAAGUAUAAUUAUUUGUGUUAAAUGUAAAAGAGACUGCACAACGG